UACGGGAGGUGCAAGCGUUGUUCGGAAUGACUGGGCGUAAAGAGCGCGUAGGCGGGUGAUUAUGUCGGAUGUGAAAUCCUCGGGCUUAACCCGAGAAUGGCAUCCGAAACGAAUCAUCUUGAAUACCUGAGGGGUUAGUGGAAUUCCAGGUGUAGGAGUGAAAUCUGUAGAUAUCUGGAGGAACAUCAGAGGCGAAGGCGACUAACUGGCAGUGUAUUGACGCUCAGGUGCGAAAGCGUGGGUAGCAAACAGG
rnacentral:rRNA from 1 species